rnacentral:rRNA from 1 species
UACGUAGGUGGCAAGCGUUGUCCGGAAUCACUGGGCGUAAAGCGCGCGCAGGCGGCGAUCUACGUCUGGGGUGAAAGCCCGGAGCUCAACUCCGGGACUGCCUUGGAUAUGGGAUCGCUUGAGGAUUGGAGAGGCAAGGGGAAUUCCACGUGUAGCGGUGAAAUGCGUAGAUAUGUGGAGGAACACCUGUGGCGAAGGCGCCUUGCUGGCCAAUUUCUGACGCUGAGGCGCGAAAGCGUGGGGAGCAAACAGG